rnacentral:tRNA from 1 species
GGGGUGCAGCUCAGUAGCAGAACAUCGGUUUUCCAUGCAGGAAAUCCUAGGUUCAAUCCCUGGCAGCUCCA